rnacentral:rRNA from 1 species
CCCUUAGAUGUCCGGGGCUGCACGCGCGCUACACUGAAGGAAUCAGCGUGCUAAAACCAUUGUCGAAAGGCAUUGGUAAACCCAUUAAAAUCCUACGUGAUUGGGAUCGGGAAUUGCAAUUAUUUCCCUUGAACGAGGAAUUCCCAGUAAGUGUGGGUCAUAAGCUCGCGUUGAUUACGUCCCUGCUCUUUGUACACACCGCCCGUCGCUGCCCGGGACUGAGCCGUUUCGAGAAAAGCGGGGACUGCUGCUGUCGGGGCUUUCGGGCCUUGGCUUCGGUGGAAACCGCUUUAAUCGCAGUGGCUUGAACCGGGCAAAAGUCGUAACA